GCAAUAAAUUUUGAUCAUGAGCUACCUGCUUAUUCUCUCUUGUAAUAGUAGUAAAACUUAACCAAAGGUCUAGAAUGUGAAAAGCAAGAUUACUUAAAGAAUGAUUUUCUGUUUUCUUGCAAAAUCCAAGAUCAUGGUUCUUAUACAUUUAGUGAAGACACGUAUGUAAACGUAGAUUAUGAUGGUCUGCCAAUAUUUUGAGACGUUUAUGUGAUCUAUUAUAAAUUGGAAAAAACCCAUCAGUUUGUUUAUGUAGAUGUUUAGGGGUUGUAGUGUUGAGGCAAAUGUUUUUGAACUUUUUUUUUGGUGUUUGGUUGAGAAAAUAAGGAAGAUAUUUUUCAUUAAAUGGAGGAAAAUUACUUCUCUCACUUAUGGGUGGAUGCUGUUUCCUUAUAGCAACUGUUUAGAGCUUCAUGUUACUAAUACUUAGAUAUUAUUACUAUUAAUCUUUGGUAAUUGAUACUCAAAUUUCAUCAGAACAUUCUCCCAGGACCUAGAUGCCAAUAAUACGAUUAAUUUGACGGAAAAGGGCCAAAUAUACCCCUAUACUAUCGGAAAAGGUUUAAAUAUAUCUUUCGUUAUACUUUGAGUCCAAAUAUACCCCUAUCGUUAUACUAUUGGUUCAAAUAUACACCUUUUUUGUUAAGUUUGUCCAAAGUGGACAUCAGUCCUACGUGACACAGAUAUUGAUGAGAUGGAUGCCAUAUGGCUUGCCACCUCAGCGUCCCUAACCCAUUUGCCCCUCCUUUUUUUUUUCCGCCACUAAAAUUUUCUUCUCCUCCACCACCAUUAUUGCUACCAUGAAAAAUAUUCUAUUUCAAAUUUUAAUCUUUUAUAUAUGGAUUAGGGGCGUUGAGGUGGCAUAGAUGGUACUGAAUCGUUUCGAAAACACGGAUAUAGCAAAACACGCAGAAUAAAAGAUAAGAGCUAGACCUAGAAUUGAUUGGAAGAACAAAAACCAAUUAGGUAUGAAACCUAAGUACCUCUAGACCUACAAUUGAUUGGAAGAACAAGAGCCAAUUAGGAUAUGAAGUCUAAUUACCUCUAUGAACUCAAUCAAUUGUAACCCUAAGCUAUGAAGUCCUCAAGAGAUUGACAACUCUUGGAAACCCGGAUAAAGUAAUUAAGCAAUUAAGUAUUCACAACUAAUUGCUCGCCAACUAAAACUAAUUUAGCACUAAUGAAAGCAAUAGAGAAAUUAAAGGCAUAAACAUAAAUGCAUUAAUUAAAAGAUAAGGAUAAAGGUGAGACUUGCACGUCUUAAAGCUUAUCAUUCAUCAAGUCUACCUAAAAUAAAAGCCUUAAGGGCUAUUUAUACUAGAGUGGGCAUUUGGCUACAAAUGAUCCAAAUGCCACCUCAACGCCCCUAAUCCAUUUGCACUCCAGUUUCUGCCCAGAAAUUGCAGCUGAACAAAAGGCAAAAGCUGCAGUUUUGGACCAACUUUUUGAACCCAAAUUUGAGCAGUGUUUGACAGCAGGAAUUGCAUCAGUUUGGAGCAGUGUUUGACAACAAGGACCUGCACACUUUUGAGUGCCAUUUGUACACUGUUCAGCAGCAAAUUCUACUCUGUUUCUCCUCUGUUUGAGCUGCUGAAACUGCAAUUUUUGGACUAGCAUUGGAGCUAAGAACAUGUAGUAAAUCUGCCCUGUUUCUGCACAGCUCUGCUGAUCUUGACUGCUGAUAGUUAACUGCACUAUUAGUUACACUUCCGGGAGUUGUUUUACUGGCUCGGAGUGCAUUUUUUUUUUUCGUGAGUCCAAGCUAAGCUUCUGAGUCUAAAUACCUGAGGGAAGUAUGUUCUGAAGUGUAGAUAAUUUCUCUAGAAUUUGGGGCUGAAGUUUGGUGACUGAUUCUGCAGAUUCUACACAACUGGUUGCUAACAACCUGCAACUCUGUCAGCUAUUGUGAUUCUAUCCAGCAUUACAGUUUUGGCCAUUCUUUGCAAAUCUGGCCAGUUUUGCAAAAUAGCCUAUUUUUGUUAGUGAUAGGGAUACCAAGUUUGUUAGUUACUUUUGGAAAGGCCUUUGGAGUAAACUUGGCACACAUUUGAACUUCUCUACUUCUUGCCACUCCCAAACCGAUGGCCAAACCGAAGUGGUCAAUAGGACCUUAUGGAACAUGCUUAGGGCCAUGGUCAAGGGGAAGCUUACUUCUUGGGAGGAGCAUUUACCUUGAUUGAGUUUGCAUAUAAUCGUUCUUAUCAUUCUUCUAUUGGCAUGACUCCUUUUGAAUGUGUGUAUGGUUUUAAUCCCCUCACCCCUUUAGAUCUAACUUCUUUGUCUCAAGAUAUGAUUGUUAGUUUAGAUGCCAAGAAAAGGGCCGAGGCUAUGAAGAAGAUUCAUGAGAAGGCAAGACAUCAACUGGAGAAAAUGAAUGACAAAGCGGCUUUUAGGACUAUGGGGUUCAUAAGAUUCGGAAGUACACAAAUGUCGGGUAUAUUAAUCAUUGCUGGCCAUUCUUGCUGCGGUUCUUCUAUAGAAUACCCAAUAGUGCUAUACUGUGAUCGCUUUCACAAUUAAUUGCCUAAAGCUCAUACAAUGCAUUGGUUGGUCGAUGGUGGUUACUUCAUUCGUUUGUAAGAUAUUCAGGAACUUUACAUUUCCUCCAUGAUAAAUGAUUCUAUAUUUUAAGAACUGCUGGCUAACUCUAAGAUUCAUUCUUUUCUAACAGGAAAAAUCUCUGGAGAUGUUAUUUCUUUACAUAUAUAAUCCUAUCACUUCUUGUGCCUCCCCUUUCAUUAUCUCUUAGUUCAAUUUAUGUUGCUAGCAGAUAAGCAAAUACUUAAAAGAAGGCCGAGGCUUUGUUGCUAUUUUUCUUUGUUCCCGCUAUCUGUUCCUAUAAUGUAAAGUGUAAUCUGAACUUAUUUACUUGUUGUAGACUAACAACUAGAUGAUCUUGAACACCUCCCUCAAGAAGGUAAUAUUUUUGUUAAAA